rnacentral:rRNA from 1 species
AUCGAACGCUAGCGGGAUGCUUUACACAUGCAAGUCGAACGGAGUGGCGGACGGGUGAGUAACAUAUCGGAACGUGCCCAGUCGCGGGGGAAAACCACUAGAAAGAGUGGCUAAUACCGAAUUCUAUUCGUGUGGCCUAUAUCGGAUUGGCUAGUUGGGGGGGUAAAGGCUCACCAAGGCAAUGACCCGUAGCUGGUUCGAGGGGAAGACCAGCCACACUGGGACUGGGACCCGGCCCAGACUCCUACGGGAGGCAGAAGUGGGGAAUUUUGGACAAGGGCGGAAACCCUAAUCCGGCAAGCCGGCGUAUAUGAUGAAGGCCUUCGGUUUGAAAGGUACUUUUGGCAGAGAAGCGGUAUCUGCAGAAUAAGCACCGGCUAACUACGUGCCAGCAGCCGCGGUAAUAC